UACCGACUAGCUAGCUCACUCAACCAAAAUCAACUCAGCCAUUGUUAAUUAACCCCAAACUACACUUACCUAAAAUACUAAACCAUUUUUUUCCUCAGUACGGGAGACGAAAAAGGCCACUACCCUUUGAAGCAACAGAAAAAGUACCGCAAGGGAACGCUGAAAAAGAAAUGAAAAAACUCAGUUAAGCAUAGUAAAGCAGAGAGCCCUUCCCUCGUACCUUUUGCAUCAUGAUUUAGCAAGAAACAGUUAAGCAAAAAGAAUUUUAGUUUAACACCCCGAAACUAGGCGAGCUACUCCAAGACAGUCUAUUUUAUAGGACAAAUCCGUCUCUGUGGCAAAAGAGUGGAGAGAGCUUCGAGUAGAGGCGAAAAACCUAACGAGCCUAGCUAUAGCUGGUUGCCUAAGAAUUGAAUAGAAGUUCAGCCCUUUAAAUUCUUUAUUCAACUCGGACAUCCCGUCCACAGAUUUAAAAGAACAAAUUAAAAGAGUUAAUCAAAGGGGGUACAGCCCCUUUGAUAGAGGACACAACCUUUCUAGCAGAGUGCAGAUUAUAAUUCUAUUUAAAGGUUAAUACUUUAGUGGGCCUAAAAGCAGCCACCCAGGAGAAAGCGUUAAAGCUUAAGUAUACCCUUAACCUCCCCCAAUCUCAAUAACCUACAUCUAAACUCGCUUGCCUCUAUUAGGCCACUCCAUCUACCCCGUGGAGGCGAUCAUGCUAAAAUGAGUAAUAAGAGGGACCUAGCCCCUCUCCACGCACACUUGUACAUCGGAACGGACCCCCACCGAAAGUUAAUCGGCCCUAAAACAAGAAGGAACUGGAUUAAAAAUGACUUACCAGAAAAACAUCCAACUGAACCACCGUUUAACCCACACUGGUGUGCACUACACGGAAAGACAAAAAGAAAGAGAAGGAACUCGGCAAACUCUUACCUUUACCAAGCCUCGCCUGUUUACCAAAAACAUCGCCUCUUGCUAUUCACUUAUAAGAGGUCCCGCCUGCCCUGUGACUACAGGUUUAACGGCCGCGGUAUUUUGACCGUGCUAAGGUAGCGCAAUCAAUUGUCUUUUAAAUGAAGACCAGUAUGAAUGGCACCACGAGGGCUUAACUGUCUCCUUUUUCCUGUCAAUGAAAUUGAUCCCCCCGUGCAGAAGCGGGGAUAUUACCAUAAGACGAGAAGACCCUAUGGAGCUUUAGGCUCCCGAACAGACUAUGUUAAAUAACCUAAAAUACAAGAAGAAACCAUUAUAACCCUGCUCUUAUGCCUUCGGUUGGGGCGACCACGGGGCAAUAAAAAACCCCCGCGCGGACCGGGAGAACAACCCCUCCAUACAACCUAGAGACACAACUCUAAGUUACAAAAUUUCUGACCACUACAUGAUCCGGCACUGACCGAUCAACGAACCCAGUUACCCUAGGGAUAACAGCGCAAUCCCCUUUUAGAGCCCAUAUCAACAAGGGGGUUUACGACCUCGAUGUUGGAUCAGGACAUCCUAUUGGUGCAGCCGCUAUUAAGGGUUCGUUUGUUCAACGAUUAAUAGUCCUACGUGAUCUGAGUUCAGACCGGAGUAAUCCAGGUCAGUUUCUAUCUAUGACAUGUCCUUUUUCAGUACGAAAGGACCUAAGAGGAGGAGCCAAUGUUUUAAAUACGCUCCACCCCCACCUAGUGAAAUCAACUAAACUAGACGAGGGGGCCUACCCUUUUCCAGCCUGAGAUUAUAGCUG
rnacentral:rRNA from 1 species